rnacentral:lncRNA from 1 species
UUUCAGAGACGUGCAGGAUCUGUCCUCUGACAUCCGUAUUCAGAACCAGGCCGUUCUGCUCAUCAGACUCCUUUGCACCAUCUGGAUUUGCUGAGAAAUGAUUUUGCAAGAAAAAAAGCUGGGGGGAGGAUCAUUACUCAGCUGUUGGCAGGUAACUGCAUCUUUAACUGUGACCAGAGUUUGUGCUCAGAGCAGCCUCGUGCUCCACAGCAUCCAUGGCCUUGUGUUCCUCUGUCUGCUUGCUUUCUGCCUGCUUCUGCCCGGAGCUGCCCCGUGCCUUUCCCUGAAGGAGAAGCCAUCCUCACAGGCUGCUGGUUACAGCUACGGGAAUGCUGCACAAACACCAGAGCUCCUUGCUCUCCUUGCUGUCUGAUCCUAGCACCACCUCACUGAAGGUCAGCAGGGUACAGGGCUUCUGAUGGGAGGUUGUAGAAAUCCUUGCACUUUGUAGACCAGUCAAACCUUUCAUUGCAGAUGUGCACUCCCCCAAACUGCUGUGCAAAAUAAGAGAACCGUGUUUUUCAUGCAUUUGGCAGCAUGAGGAGAAUGUUUUCUUCUGUGCAUUAAUAUAGCCGAAGUGGUGAUUUUGCUGCCAUGUGACCUGUUGAUUUCAGCACAGUGCAAGGCAAAUUUUGUGCCCCCUGGCCCUUUGCAGCCUCGAGUCUGUGAUGACCGUGUAAAUGGAGGGCUGGAAACCUCUGUGUAGCUCAGCAAAGUGGAGGAGCCUG